GCCGACUUAGCUCAGUGGUAGAGCAACUGUUUUGUAAACAGUAGGUCGCCAGUUCAAAUCUGGCAGUCGGCUCCA
rnacentral:tRNA from 1 species